rnacentral:misc_RNA from 1 species
GAUGAAGAACGUAGUGAAAUGCGAUAAGUAAUGUGAAUUACAGAAUUCAGUGAAUCAUCGAAUCUUUGAACGCACAUUGCGCCCGCCAGUAUUCUGGCGGGCAUGCCUGUUCGAGCGUCAUUACAACCCUCAGGCCCCCGGGCCUGGCGUUGGGGAUCGGCGGAGCCCCCCGUGGGCACACGCCGUCCCCCAAAUACAGUGGCGGUCCCGCCGCAGCUUCCAUCGCGUAGUAGCUAACACCUCGCGACUGGAGAGCGGCGCGGCCACGCCGUAAAACACCCAACUCUUCUGAAGUUGACCUCGAAUCAGGUAGGAAUACCCGCUGAACUUAAGCAUAUCAAUAAGCGGAGGA